AGCGUACACGGUGGAUGCCCUGGCAGUCAGAGGCGAUGAAGGACGUGCUAAUCUGCGAUAAGCGUCGGUAAGGUGAUAUGAACCGUUAUAACCGGCGAUUUCCGAAUGGGGAAACCCAGUGUGUUUCGACACACUAUCAUUAACUGAAUCCAUAGGUUAAUGAGGCGAACCGGGGGAACUGAAACAUCUAAGUACCCCGAGGAAAAGAAAUCAACCGAGAUUCCCCCAGUAGCGGCGAGCGAACGGGGAGGAGCCCAGAGCCUGAAUCAGUGUGUGUGUUAGUGGAAGCGUCUGGAAAGGCGCGCGAUACAGGGUGACAGCCCCGUACACAAAAAUGCACAUACUGUGAGCUCGAUGAGUAGGGCGGGACACGUGGUAUCCUGUCUGAAUAUGGGGGGACCAUCCUCCAAGGCUAAAUACUCCUGACUGACCGAUAGUGAACCAGUACCGUGAGGGAAAGGCGAAAAGAACCCCGGCGAGGGGAGUGAAAAAGAACCUGAAACCGUGUACGUACAAGCAGUGGGAGCCUCUUUUAUGGGGUGACUGCGUACCUUUUGUAUAAUGGGUCAGCGACUUAUAUUCUGUAGCAAGGUUAACCGAAUAGGGGAGCCGAAGGGAAACCGAGUCUUAACUGGGCGUUAAGUUGCAGGGUAUAGACCCGAAACCCGGUGAUCUAGCCAUGGGCAGGUUGAAGGUUGGGUAACACUAACUGGAGGACCGAACCGACUAAUGUUGAAAAAUUAGCGGAUGACUUGUGGCUGGGGGUGAAAGGCCAAUCAAACCGGGAGAUAGCUGGUUCUCCCCGAAAGCUAUUUAGGUAGCGCCUCGUGAAUUCAUCUCCGGGGGUAGAGCACUGUUUCGGCAAGGGGGUCAUCCCGACUUACCAACCCGAUGCAAACUGCGAAUACCGGAGAAUGUUAUCACGGGAGACACACGGCGGGUGCUAACGUCCGUCGUGAAGAGGGAAACAACCCAGACCGCCAGCUAAGGUCCCAAAGUCAUGGUUAAGUGGGAAACGAUGUGGGAAGGCCCAGACAGCCAGGAUGUUGGCUUAGAAGCAGCCAUCAUUUAAAGAAAGCGUAAUAGCUCACUGGUCGAGUCGGCCUGCGCGGAAGAUGUAACGGGGCUAAACCAUGCACCGAAGCUGCGGCAGCGACGCUUAUGCGUUGUUGGGUAGGGGAGCGUUCUGUAAGCCUGUGAAGGUGUACUGUGAGGCAUGCUGGAGGUAUCAGAAGUGCGAAUGCUGACAUAAGUAACGAUAAAGCGGGUGAAAAGCCCGCUCGCCGGAAGACCAAGGGUUCCUGUCCAACGUUAAUCGGGGCAGGGUGAGUCGACCCCUAAGGCGAGGCCGAAAGGCGUAGUCGAUGGGAAACAGGUUAAUAUUCCUGUACUUGGUGUUACUGCGAAGGGGGGACGGAGAAGGCUAUGUUGGCCGGGCGACGGUUGUCCCGGUUUAAGCGUGUAGGCUGGUUUUCCAGGCAAAUCCGGAAAAUCAAGGCUGAGGCGUGAUGACGAGGCACUACGGUGCUGAAGCAACAAAUGCCCUGCUUCCAGGAAAAGCCUCUAAGCAUCAGGUAACAUCAAAUCGUACCCCAAACCGACACAGGUGGUCAGGUAGAGAAUACCAAGGCGCUUGAGAGAACUCGGGUGAAGGAACUAGGCAAAAUGGUGCCGUAACUUCGGGAGAAGGCACGCUGAUAUGUAGGUGAAGCGACUUGCUCGUGGAGCUGAAAUCAGUCGAAGAUACCAGCUGGCUGCAACUGUUUAUUAAAAACACAGCACUGUGCAAACACGAAAGUGGACGUAUACGGUGUGACGCCUGCCCGGUGCCGGAAGGUUAAUUGAUGGGGUUAGCGGUAACGCGAAGCUCUUGAUCGAAGCCCCGGUAAACGGCGGCCGUAACUAUAACGGUCCUAAGGUAGCGAAAUUCCUUGUCGGGUAAGUUCCGACCUGCACGAAUGGCGUAAUGAUGGCCAGGCUGUCUCCACCCGAGACUCAGUGAAAUUGAACUCGCUGUGAAGAUGCAGUGUACCCGCGGCAAGACGGAAAGACCCCGUGAACCUUUACUAUAGCUUGACACUGAACAUUGAGCCUUGAUGUGUAGGAUAGGUGGGAGGCUUUGAAGUGUGGACGCCAGUCUGCAUGGAGCCGGCCUUGAAAUACCACCCUUUAAUGUUUGAUGUUCUAACGUUGGCCCCUGAUCGGGGUUGCGGACAGUGUCUGGUGGGUAGUUUGACUGGGGCGGUCUCCUCCUAAAGAGUAACGGAGGAGCACGAAGGUUGGCUAAUCCUGGUCGGACAUCAGGAGGUUAGUGCAAUGGCAUAAGCCAGCUUGACUGCGAGCGUGACGGCGCGAGCAGGUGCGAAAGCAGGUCAUAGUGAUCCGGUGGUUCUGAAUGGAAGGGCCAUCGCUCAACGGAUAAAAGGUACUCCGGGGAUAACAGGCUGAUACCGCCCAAGAGUUCAUAUCGACGGCGGUGUUUGGCACCUCGAUGUCGGCUCAUCACAUCCUGGGGCUGAAGUAGGUCCCAAGGGUAUGGCUGUUCGCCAUUUAAAGUGGUACGCGAGCUGGGUUUAGAACGUCGUGAGACAGUUCGGUCCCUAUCUGCCGUGGGCGCUGGAGAACUGAGGGGGGCUGCUCCUAGUACGAGAGGACCGGAGUGGACGCAUCACUGGUGUUCGGGUUGUCAUGCCAAUGGCACUGCCCGGUAGCUAAAUGCGGAAGAGAUAAGUGCUGAAAGCAUCUAAGCACGAAACUUGCCCCGAGAUGAGUUCU
rnacentral:rRNA from 1 species